GUGCUCACUUUGGCAGCACAUAUACGAAAAUUGGAACAAUACAGAAGGAUUAACAUGGCUCCUGAGCAAGAAUGGCACCCAAAUCCGUGAAGCAUUCCAUUCCUUU